AGGAUUUGCCUGUGACCAUGUGCUUCCUGCUGAAGAUGUGAAAGUAUCUCUGGCUGACUUAUAACACUGAUUGCAAUGCACAUGCUCUAUCCAUAAUGAUUUUUAAAUUCGACAUGAACACACUGGCAACUUAUGGAGAAACAAUAAAAAAUGUUAACGAUAUUACAACCAGAUGGCUUGCCAAGGAAUGCAGAACUAAAUCAAUACAUAAAAAAGAA